rnacentral:rRNA from 1 species
UACGUAGGGUGCGAGCGUUAAUCGGAAUUACUGGGCGUAAAGCGUGCGCAGGCGGUAAUGUAAGACAGAUGUGAAAUCCCCGGGCUUAACCUGGGACCUGCAUUUGUGACUGCAUUGCUGGAGUGCGGCAGAGGGGGAUGGAAUUCCGCGUGUAGCAGUGAAAUGCGUAGAUAUGCGGAGGAACACCGAUGGCGAAGGCAAUCCCCUGGGCCUGCACUGACGCUCAUGCACGAAAGCGUGGGGAGCAAACAGG